AUGAAAGAAACAGUUAACGUAGCCACUCCGCCAAGCCGUCCGCUCUCUGUCCGUGUGUCAGCAGAGACGGAAUCUGCUAACAAUUCCACGGCAGAGGACCCCAUGAGCCCUACCGGAAGAGUCUUCGAGGAGAUGGGUGUCUAUAUCAUCGUCGUGAUGGGGCUUUGCACGCCGGUGAACCUGCCCGUCUUCCGCGCAGGCAUCGAAACAGAACUGCUUACCCGGUUCCCACGCUUCCGCAGCAUUCAAGUGAUGGAUGGGUCGAAGGAUGGAAAGCCACGCUGGGUGCAAACGGUGGUAAAUGUGGACGACCACAUCAUCGUCCCGAGGCUAGAUCUUGCCUCCGUGGACUCUGACCCAGAAAAGGCCGUGGAGGACUACGUGGCGUCUCCAUCCCUGCUCCCGAUGGACAGGCGCCGUCCUCUCUGGGAGUUCCACUUUCUUGACUUCCCGACUUCGGAGGCAGCCUCCACGACGGUGCUCCGCCUGCACCACUCCAUCGGCGACGGCAUGUCGAUCAUCACUCUCCUCAUGGCGUCGUCGCGCAGCACGGCCGACCCGGCGAGGCUGCCGGCCAUGCCGCCGCCGCCCAAACGCACUGGCGCCAUCUACCAACGGUGUCCACAGCCUCCGCGGCUUUUGUCAGGCGAUUACCUUGCGUGGCUUUGGUCGUACUUUGUGCUAGCAUGGCACACGCUGGUGGACAUCGUGUUGCUUGCUGCGACCGUAUUGUUCUUGAGAGAUCCAGGCACGAUGUUCACGCUUGUGCCAAACGGCGGCCAGUCUCGCGGCCGCAAGCGCUUGGUGCACCAGAGCCUCAGGCUCGACGAUGUCAAGCUCAUCAAGACUGUCAUGAACUGCACUAUGAAUGACGUGCUAGUUGGUGUGACUUCAGCAGCUCUUUCACGGUACUACUUUAGGAAAUCCUGUAACAUCAACACCAAGAGAAUCUGCUUGCGAUCAAUCCUCCCUGUGAACACAAGGCCAGUCUCCAGCCGACAAACAUAUGUUACCAAGGUAGAGACCGGGAAUCAAAUUAGCAAUAUCAUCUGUCCAUUUUAUAUAGCCUUGCACAAUGAUCCCCUUGAGUAUGUUCGCACGGCAAAAAGGUCUAUGCAUAGGAAAAAGAGCUCUUUAGAAGUGAUGUUCGCACAAAUGACUGUUGAUUUUUUGGUGAAAUACUUUGGUCCAAAGCAGACAGGAGCUUUCAUCUUCCGCUGCUUUGUCACACGUACAACCGCAGUCUUAUCAAAUGUCGUAGGGCCAGCUGAACAUAUAACUUUAUGUGGGCACCCGAUUGCCUUCAUGGCAAUUAGCGUCUAUGGUUUACCACAAGCUCUGACCAUGCACUACCUAAAUUAUGGCAGCAAUAUCAAGGUCAUUCUAACAGUUGACGACGAACAAUUUCCAGAUUGUCAUCAACUUUUAAAUGAUUUUGCUGAGUCCGUCAAGCUUGUUAGGGAUGCGGCUAGCCUCAAGACAUUAACAACAUUGAUCCAGAAUGACUGA
rnacentral:rRNA from 1 species